rnacentral:rRNA from 4 species
UAACGACUCUCGGCAACGGAUAUCUCGGCUCUCGCAUCGAUGAAGAACGUAGCGAACUGCGAUACUUGGUGUGAAUUGCAGAAUCCCGUGAACCAUCGAGUCUUUGAACGCAAGUUGCGCCUGAAUCCAUUUGGACGAGGGCACGUUUGCCUGGGUGUCA